AGUACUUAAUUGUUCAAUUUCUGCGCCAUUCUUCUUUCUUCUUCUCUUCCAAAAUAUAGAAAGAAAAUAUAUUUUCUUACAAAGAAAGUCAGAGCUUUCCAUCCCUUUCCUAACUUUUCUUCUUUCCAAAUUUAAAGGGUUCUUUCCAAAGGUUCUCUCCAACCCUUUCCAAACUCAGAGGUUUAAUAUGAUUGAAUCGUAUUAAAUUUCUGUUUCAUUAGUUUUAUUUGGUAAUUUACAUGGUUCUUUCCAAAGGUUUGAGAAGAGGUUCUUACAGGGUUCUUUCGAAAGGUUCUCUCCAUUCCUUUCCAAACUCAGAGGUUAAGAGCUCAAACUCUUUUGUAUCGGAAUCAAAGGAAGCUACAGGAGUUAAUAUAUCAAGCAUCACUAUGACUUUCCAUGCUGAAGUAUAUGGACUCUUCUAAAGGUGAAUUGAGCGAAGGAAGUCAAGCAAAGGAGAAUUGAAAAGCAAGGAGCUAAGCUAAGCAUAAAAGGCUCAAAUCUAAAAAUUUACAAGGCAUAGCAAAGCUUGAAAAUUGAAAGCUAAAUUGAAGUUGCUUAAGGACCUUUUAUGAGCUCUUUCUAACUCAAUCUCUAGUAAAAUCGUUGGCCCGCGUGGAGGCAUAUUUUUACUUUCUUAGAUAAAUCAUGAGCCCGUAUGGAAGCAAUUUACUUUUCUUUGCAUAUUGUUGAAAGCAUGGGAAUAUGGGAUCAAUGUAUGUGGAGGAGUGUUGAUUAU